CAAAAAAAAGCGGUGAUUUUUUUCCAGUUUCCCCUUCCCCUUCUCUGCUUAUGUUCUGCUUCAACCAAUACCAUCGUCGCCGCUGCUUCUGCCAUCUCCAUCGCCAUUGCCGCCGCUGCUUCUUCCAUCGCUGAUUCUAAGAUGAAGAAUGUAGUCUCAAGGUUAUUCCAUAUUGAUUCGCCCCCCAUCCACCCACACAACCAGAAGCUUUGUUUUGCUCUAAUUUGAAGAAAUCGUUCAACGAUUCUUCUUAAUUCAAGUUUCCCAUGUAUUUUACUAUGCGCCAAACCUGUUUGAGAGUUGGAAAGGACAGAAGCUUCUUUCAAGAGCUGAAUUUCAUAUCGAUGCCCAUGUGACGAAAUUCCUGCGAUUGCAAAUGCUUCCUGCUUCAUCCGAUAAACCCAAUGCUACCCAAGCCAUGAUAAAACUAACAGAUACGCUAUAUUAUUCGGGUACUCUUGAUGGAAGCAUUGGUUGUAUUGUGUUAGGUUAUGAUACAUAUGACAAUUCAUAAAUCAUGCGGAAAAACCAUUUAGCCAGGAAUACAUAUUAUUUACACAUAA